rnacentral:rRNA from 1 species
CCUACGGGAGGCAGCAGUGGGGAAUAUUGGGCAAUGGAGGCAACUCUGACCCAGCAACGCCGCGUGAAUGAUGAAGGUCUUCGGAUUGUAAAGUUCUUUUCUAAGGGAAGAAGAAAGUGACGGUACCUGAGGAAUAAGCCUCUGCUUACUACGUGCCAGCAGCCGCGGUAAUACGGAGGAGGCAAGCUUUAUCCGGAAAUACUGGGCGAAAAGGGGGCGGAGGUGGUUUGACAAGUUAGUAGCGCAGCUCCGGAGUUAAACUUCGGAACUACUACUAAAACGGUUGGACUCGAGUGCAGGAGGGGCAACCGGAAUUCCUAGGGUAGCGGUGGAAUGCGUAGAUAUUAGGAGGAACACCAGUGGCGAAGGCGGAUUGCUGGAAUGUAACUGACACUGAGGCACGAAAGCGUAGGGAGCAAACAGGAUUAGAUACCCUAGUAGUC